UACUGAGGGUGCAAGCGUUAAUCGGAAUUACUGGGCGUAAAGCGAGUGUAGGCGGUUACCUAAGUCGGAUGUGAAAGCCCUGGGCUCAACCUGGGAAUGGCAUUCGAUACUGGGUAACUAGAGUUUGGUAGAGGUAAGUGGAAUUCCGGGUGUAGCGGUGAAAUGCGUAGAUAUCCGGAGGAACAUCAGUGGCGAAGGCGGCUUACUGGACCAAAACUGACGCUGAGGCUCGAAAGCGUGGGGAGCAAACAGGAUUAGAUACCCGCGUA
rnacentral:rRNA from 1 species